ensembl:snRNA U6 U6 spliceosomal RNA
GUGCUAGCUGCAGCAGCAGAUAUACUAAAAUUGGAACGAUACAGAGAAAAUUAGCAUGGCCUCUGAGCAAGGAUGACAAGCAAAUUCGUUAAGUGUUUCAAAUAAAA